ACGGAAGGCAGCAGUGGGGGAUAUUGCACAAUGGGGGAAACCCUGAUGCAGCGACGCCGCGUGAGUGAUGAAGUAUUUCGGUAUGUAAAGCUCUAUCAGCAGGGAAGAAAAUGACGGUACCUGACUAAGAAGCACCGGCUAAAUACGUGCCAGCAGCCGCGGUAAUACGUAUGGUGCAAGCGUUAUCCGGAUUUACUGGGUGUAAAGGGAGCGUAGACGGCAUAGCAAGCCAGAUGUGAAAUGCGGGGGCUCAACCCCUGAACUGCAUUUGGAACUGUUAAGCUAGAGUAUCGGAGAGGUAAGUGGAAUUCCUAGUGUAGCGGUGAAAUGCGUAGAUAUUAGGAGGAACACCGGUGGCGAAGGCGACUUUCUGGACUGUAACUGACACUGAGGUACGAAAGCGUGGGGAGCAAACAGGAUUAGAUACCCUGGUA
rnacentral:rRNA from 1 species